UACGUAGGGUGCGAGCGUUAAUCGGAAUUACUGGGCGUAAAGCGUGCGCAGGCGGUUCGUUGUGUCGGUGGUGAAAUCCCCGGGCUUAACCUGGGAAUGGCCAUGGAAACUGGCGAACUGGAGUGCGGCAGAGGGGGGUGGAAUUCCGCGUGUAGCAGUGAAAUGCGUAGAGAUGCGGAGGAACACCGAUGGCGAAGGGCAGCCCCCUGGGCUAGCACUGACGCCUCAGGCACGAAAGCGUGGGGAGCAAACAGG
rnacentral:rRNA from 1 species